CUGACGGUUCUGGUUCAGUUAAAUCUAAUGUGUUAAAAGUAUAUAUUAAGUGCGAGCUGCUUGCAAUACUGCCUCGGAGGUAGUAGAGGUUAUGAAUACACUGUAGUUUAAAAAACACAAAGAUCCGCUUUAUUCCGCAAUUCAAAUAAAAGGCUCACAUUGAAGCGCGUCGGGUGCCGCAAUGGCCAGUCAGUUAAAGCGAGAUCGCUUGUGUUGAUGAUUCUAUAUGAUAAUUAGCAUUGAAAUAUUGGGUUAUGGUUUGAAAAAAAAUCUCGCGAAUUGAACGUCAAAUGUCUUGAUUCCUAAGAGUUUGUCUCACGUUUUGUGCAGAGGUGUGGUUGGCAAUACUGCAAAUGUAAAACUAAAAAUUAUCUGACAGCAUAGAAAAUCGUGUUUUUCUAAUGAGAUUCCACAGCAAACGGAUUAAUAGGAUCCCGCUAAUAAGGGCUGUGUUUGCAAAUCAGACAAUGGGUUAGAUUCAUUUAGCGAUUUCUUCAGGACAAACUUCAAAAUCUAUAUCGAGAAAAAGAACUGCUGUUGAUGCCCCUUCUUAUUGUGUGUGUGUGUGUGUGUAUUUGCUGGUGUGUUAAGCUGACGCAGCCCUGAUACGUGUCCUGCAUUGUUAUGCAAUACCGUGAUGUACUCGCGUUAGCAACCACGUUACUGACAUAUCCAGUUAUUGCAAUUGAUUUCGUUUAUAAAAUAAACAGUAUAACACGUGCCUCUUAACUAACUUCAUGACGUAAUAAAGCAAGCUAUUGUUGCGCUCCGAGUGCGAUGAUAACAAGCAGUGAUCAGCGCGCAGAAUCACGUGGAGAAGAACAUAAUCAAUCAAUGGAGCGCAUUCUCCUCAGUCCAACAGUGCCGGGUUUGAUGUGAUCACACGCCAUGCGGCUUUUUCAGUUUCGUAUCGCCUUGUCCAUACUUGCUAUAAUUUGUGCAGGUGAGUAAAUCCAUUUUAGAAAGUAGUUUACGCAGCUAACAGUCGGGCAUGGUUUCAAAGCGCGUUCUCCACUGGAAUUACAUUUCGUGCGUCUGUCAGAAGAGCCGUGCGCUGAAGUCGAGCAGCAUUUUAGAGUCUAUUAUAAAUGAAAGUGGAACGCAGUGAAAAGGCGCGGGGAAUCUGGUCAGAUUCGACAUACUAAUACAGCUUGAUGUGGUUCAAUCCUGUUAUUAAUUCCACACUUUCUUGUCUACAGUCCAGGUAAAGACAUUUCCUCAAAUCGCCUUCAUAAUUAUCAGUAUAGCUCUCAGUGAUUCUAACAGAAGAUGACAGCAAACGAAACACGAAUGAAUGAGAAUCCGUGUCAAACUUAUUUCAGAUGCAUCGAGCCCUGGAAGCCCCGAGCUACAGAACACAGACAGCGCCAGUGCUGAAGACACGCAACCAGGAGUAAGCAGUCGUGAUUUCGAUAAAGAAAACUUGAAUUUCACAGGCCGCUGCUUCAACUGACUGGGUCAAAAAAACGUUUGGUUCGUGUGAAUGCUCUCACGUGCUCACUCAAGCUACCCUGAAGCCGCUGCUGGGUGUGAUCGCGGCAGUCUUCAUGCUGGCGGUGGGGAUGAUGGUGGCCUGCGCUGGGCUGCUUCUAAAACCAGGACAGGAGACAGGAGAGGAGCAGCUUCAUGAAGAAAUAGAAGAUUAAGUGUAUUGCCUGCAAGAGAGUUUUCAAUCUAUUAAAAAAAGUCUGAUUAAAACAGAGAAUGCAGUUCUCUGAUUUCACCAGUUACUCAGGAAGUGGAUGAAUCCGCUGUGUAGAGCAGCAGUGUGUGUGUGUCUGUGUGUGUGUGUGUGUGUUGUAGUGUCUGUUUUCAAUGUGUGUGUGUGGUGGCACAGUGGCUUCCCAGAAGAUUUUUUGAAAUAGGAGUAUUAUAGAAAUAUCUCAACUAAUAUCUUUGAUAUACUGUAAUGUGACAAGGAAGCUGUGUGAGUAAAGGGUCCUCAUGCAGUAAAGUAAGGUGCUAUUGUACAACAUACUGUCAGCAUGGUGAAGCAACAAGGGAACGCUGUCGGUCUCUAUAACAAUCAGGGCUCUCGCACAUCUACAUCUUAUCUGUGCUGUCUCUUACACUGUCCUUUAUCUAAAAAACACACACUGGCAUUUCUGCAAGCCCUGGAUUGUGAUGUCAUACUAUUUGCAUACAUUUCUCUGACCUCACGAUGAACUGCUGUUGAUGCAUUGUGCCAGUAAGCGGGUGACUGAGAAGAUGAUUUGAGAUGAAGAGACAACUGGAGGGACUUGUUCUGCUUUUCCUUCUCUCUGCUCUGUGCUGUGAGUGACUGUCACUGUUAGCAGUGAAGUGAUUUGGGCUAGCAACACAAAAACAGAACACAUUUCAUUACAAAACCAUUGAAGGUAGAAUAAUCUGGUUAAAAAACUGCAACAUGUUUUGUCUGAUUAAAAAAAGGUCUCAGUGAAAGAACAAGUGUGAAGAUGAGUGUGUAAUCUCACAAUGUAUUUGUAUUUGCUUGCGAUUGUAAGUCGCCCUGGAUAAGGGCGUCUGCUAAGAAAUAAAUAAUAAUA